UUCUUGUAGUUGAAUACAACGGUGGUUUUUCAAGUCACUGGUCUUGGUUAAAAUCCGAGCAGGAAUUA
rnacentral:tRNA from 1 species